AGAACCCACAAGCUUCUCCUCCCAGAAGGCCAAGCAGUGGCCAGUCCUUGACUCUAUGAAUGGAAAUUUGAAUCAUGGCAACUGGUAGACCCCAAAGAGACCACUCUGCAUACCACCAGACUACAUUCCAGUGUGGUCCAUGGAACGUCACCAUGAUGAGUGAUUGCAGUUAUCCCAGGGGCGACUCCCUCCCCAAGCAGAAGCUAUGUGAUGUGCGCUGUGGCUCUCUUGCCAGACAACGCAAACCAUAUGGAAAGUGGAUCAUCUGCCGACACCACGCACAGAGUACUGGUGCUGCCCGACAUGCUCACAUCGGGGCACACAGAGAAAAUGAUAAUAGAAGAGAUGAUUGAAAGAUAUGAUGGGAAAAUAUAUUACAACAAAAGACACAUUGUCAAGAAUAAUAGGAUAAGUAUGUUUAAAGCAAGGGGGAGCAUGUUGGUAUUUUGAGAGGAAAGAAUGGCCAUGUCUUUUACCGUAACAAGCUUUUUAAUUUAAACACCCACUGUAGUUUUUUUCUACCCCUAGUUGCUUACGGA
rnacentral:lncRNA from 1 species